AAGGGGGCAUGGGGACAAAGACCAAGGGCGAAGUAUGGAGCUGACCUCGAAGGAUGUAGCUCUGAUAGUUGUGGUCAGCAGCAGCACCCACGCGGAUCAGGCAACUCAACCCCUCUGAGUGUACAAAUUCAGGCACCAGGUCCUUGUCUUCCUAGAGGCACCAUGGGAAGGUUAAGGGGGACUGGGCUGGGCACCAACCCUCACCUACCUCUGGAUCUUACCUGGAAUAUCUGCUUUAAUGAAAAGAGGGAUCGGCGGAGCUCGGGGCCACUGGAGCCAUACAGCUUUUCUGUAAGGGGUAAGUGGUCAUAAACAAUUCAAGGGAGCACAGACGGUGUCUUCUUCCACUAGCAUAACCAAAGCCUCUAGCAGUGUCAAGCCUGCUCUCUAUUCUGACUCUGGACACAAUCCUCUGUCACCAUGACUGCAGUCCAGCUGUGGCAUCAAUCUUGACCCAGAAGAAAAGGACGGGAAAGGGAGAGAGGAAGACACACCAGAUCUCUAAUCCACCCAAUCCAUAGCCCAGCACAGGCCGGGAAGAAGCUACACCAACUGGCCUACGUAAGAAAAGAAGGGAACAAGAUGGCAGGAGAUACCACACACUUACCCAAGAUAGCAUUGACCCUCACAGAGAGCUGGGUCCGCAGGAUCAAUGUGGGCUUCCGCCCUUUGCUAAAAGCAAGUAGCUGCUGUUAGUGGCUCCCAACUGAUUUCUCAGAGUCCCCCACCCUCAAAGCAGAGACAUCUAAAGA
rnacentral:lncRNA from 1 species